rnacentral:rRNA from 1 species
UACGUAGGGGGCUAGCGUUGUCCGGAAUCAUUGGGCGUAAAGCGCGUGUAGGCGGCCCGAUAAGUCCGCUGUGAAAGUCCAGGGCUCAACCCUGGGAUGCCGGUGGAUACUGUCGGGCUCGAGUCCGGAAGAGGCGAGUGGAAUUCCUGGUGUAGCGGUGAAAUGCGCAGAUAUCAGGAGGAACACCAAUGGCGAAGGCAGCUCGCUGGGACGUGACUGACGCUGAGAUGCGAAAGCGUGGGGAGCAAACAGG